GAUGAACGCUGGCGGCGUGCCUAAUACAUGCAAGUCGAGCGAAUGGAUUAAGAGCUUGCUCUUAUGAAGUUAGCGGCGGACGGGUGAGUAACACGUGGGUAACCUGCCCAUAAGACUGGGAUAACUCCGGGAAACCGGGGCUAAUUCCGGAUAACAUUUUGAACCGCAUGGUUCGAAAUUGAAAGGCGGCUUCGGCUGUCACUUAUGGAUGGACCCGCGUCGCAUUAGCUAGUUGGUGAGGUAACGGCCCACCAAGGCAACGAUGCGUAGCCGACCGGAGAGGGUGAUCGGCCACACUGGGACUGAGACACGGCCCAGACUCCUACGGGAGGCAGCAGGAGGGAAUCUUCCGCAAUGGACGAAAGUCUGACGGAGCAACGCCGCGUGAGUGAUGAAGGCUUUUGGGUCGUAAAACUCUGUUGUUAGGGAAGAACAAGUGCUAGUUGAAUAAGCUGGCACCUUGACGGUACCUAACCAGAAAGCCACGGCUAACUACGUGCCAGCAGCCGCCGUAA
rnacentral:rRNA from 1 species